GGUUUUAUGAUGUAGUGGUUAGCAUACCAGAUUUUGAGAAGGUUCUACAGUGAACUGAUAUCGAAAAACUUCUGGUUACCCCGGUUCGAAUCCGGGUAAGACCU
rfam:Sphaerulina musiva SO2202 unplaced genomic scaffold SEPMTscaffold_10, whole genome shotgun sequence.